rnacentral:rRNA from 1 species
GACGAACGCUGGCGGCGUGCUUAACACAUGCAAGUCGAACGGGCCCGCUCUCUUUUUUGGGGGUGGGUUGAGUGGCGAACGGGUGAGUAUCACGUGAGUAACCUGCCCCCUGCUCCUGGAUAACUGCUUGAAAGGGCGGCUAAUACGGGGUGUGCCGGCUGGUCCGCAUGGGCCUGGUCGGGAUAGUUUCAUCUUCGGGUGUUUCGGUGGGGGAUGGGCUCGCGUCCUAUCAGCUUGUUGGUGGGGUGAUGGCCCACCAAGGCGGUGACGGGUAGCCGGCCUGAGAGGGUGGGCGGCCACACUGGGACUGAGACACGGCCCAGACUCCUGCGGGAGGCAGCAGUGGGGGGUAUUGCACAAUGGGCGGAAGCCUGAUGCAGCGACGUCGCGUGAGGGAUGGAGGCCUUCGGGUUGUGAACCUCUUUCUCCGGUGGUGAAGGCCCUGUCCGUUGCGGCGGGGUUGACGGUAGCCGGGUAUGAAGCGCCGGCUAACUACGUG